AGUGAACGCUGGCGGUAGGCCUAACACAUGCAAGUCGAACGGCAGCACAGUAAGAGCUUGCUCUUACGGGUGGCGAGUGGCGGACGGGUGAGGAAUACAUCGGAAUCUACUUUUUCGUGGGGGAUAACGUAGGGAAACUUACGCUAAUACCGCAUACGACCUACGGGUGAAAGCAGGGGAUCUUCGGACCUUGCGCGAUUGAAUGAGCCGAUGUCGGAUUAGCUAGUUGGCGGGGUAAAGGCCCACCAAGGCGACGAUCCGUAGCUGGUCUGAGGGGAUGGUCAGCCACACUGGAACUGAGACACGAUCCAGGCUCCUACGGGAGGCAGCAGUGGGGAAUGUUGGCAAAUGUGCGCAAUCCUGAUCCAGCCAUACCGCGUGGGUGAAGAAGGCCUGCGGGUUGUAAAGCCCUUUUGUUGGGAAAGAAAAGCAGCAGGUUAAGACCCCGCUGUUCUGACGGUACCCAAAGAAUAAGCACCGGCUAACUUCGG
rnacentral:rRNA from 1 species